CACCUUUGAUAAUAGACGACUCAUAUAUGAUGCGUUAAAGAAUUAUUAACUAAUUAUUAAAUAUCAUUAUAAUAAUAAUCUCUAAAUAGUAUGGCACAUCAAAUCUUUAUAGAUUUAUUUUAUGUUCUUAUUUUAUACUUUAAUCCAAUGGUCGUCACUCUUUUAUAGGACAAUGUGAGGUAUCACUGCGGGACACACCUUUCUGGACUGUUUAGUUGACCACCAGUCAAUUGACAUAUUUAAUAUCAAUUAUCAAUAGGCUAUUGUUCUAUAGAUAAAUCAAUUAAAAUUAUUAUUUAUGCAACGUGGGUAGCUUAUUGAUUAGGAACAGGCGUGAAAACAUAUCUGUAAUGAAAAAGAUGGUAAAUAUAUUAUAACAGUAUUUUUUAUUUCUACUAAAUUUGUUUGCUCUGCCACGGCUUUAAUCAGUUUACAAUUUGCAAGGCUUUUUGAAUACUUGCAUCACCGAUUUUACAUAAGCAACAUGUAAUAUACACACAUAUGCCAUAUUGAACGGUAAAAAUGUUUUUAAAUGAGUAAAAUCAUUUUUAAACUACCCCCCAUUGUGCCAAUCGAUUGUAUGAUAACUUAAUUACUUCAAUUGCAUUGUUGCACUCAAAUUAUUUUCUCUCAACGACAUUCCAUUAAAUUCAAUUUCUUUCAAUUUCCGCAUUAACCUAACUCUUACAAGCUAAUUUUUGUGGAAUUUUAUAAUACGAAAAAAAAAAUAGUAGAUUCUAAGGCCAAAUACAUAUUGUAUGCAUCGUUAUAAAAACAUUAUAAUAACUAUAUUAUUAUUUACACCAGCCUUUCUCGAAGCGGGUCCCUGGAGGUCACGUGGUUACCGGGACCUUAAGGUAUCAGAUUCUUUGAAGAUAUUCACUUAAAACUUAAAAGAGGUAUUUUUUAUCUUAUAAGAUAAAAAAAUUUUUUUUUCAAAUAGGUAAAAUUGCAUGUAAAUCUUUUUAUAUAUUAUAUUAAAGGAUAUCUCUUGCAAACUGUGGCUGGGAGAAGCGAUAAAUUUUAAAAUGUAUUAAACUGAGUUGUGACGUCAUCGAACAACAAGAAAUGCGAACAUAGCGAUACAAAAGAACUAAAGGAGAUAUCUAUUAAAGUAAUAAAACC